rnacentral:rRNA from 1 species
GAUGAACGCUAGCGGCAGGCUUAAUACAUGCAAGUCGUGGGGCAGCAUGAGUGUAGCAAUACAUUUGAUGGCGACCGGCAAACGGGUGCGGAACACGUACACAACCUUCCUUCAAGUGGGGAAUAGCCCAGGGAAACUUGGAUUAAUACCCCGUAAUAUUAUGGAGUGGCAUCACUUUAUAAUUAUAGCUCCGGCGCUUGAUGAUGGGUGUGCGCCUGAUAGGUAGUUGGCGGGGUAACGGCCCACCAAGCCUUCGAUCAGUAACUGGUGUGAGAGCACGACCAGUCACACGGGCACUGAGACACCGGGCCCGACUCCUACGGGAGGCAGCAGUAAGGAAUAUUGGUCAAUGGACGCAAGUCUG